GGGGAAACGAUCGAGGGUUAUUAUGGGUGUGUGCUGCUGCCCUGCUGUUGUAACAUACCACUUUUGCAGCAGCGCCCAUCCCGAAUCGGCUGCAGCGCUUGUGACGUAGACGCAGCGGUGCUGGAGUGUGUGUGUGUGGAAAAACAGGAUUCUUGUAUACAUGUUGGCGAUCGGAGGCGUCGUGUGGUUAUACGAUUAAUUCCGUUGUCUUGACGCUAUGCAAUAGUGACACAUGAUGAUAGAAAAUGCCGGAGAGUAUAUAUGGAAAAUCGCUAACAGGCGGAACCAAAUAGGAUUGCAGCAUUUCCGCUCGCCACCAAACAUCAUCCGAGGGAUGGGGAAUGAUGAAUUGAUGGCGGUUAGCCAUCCAUCAUCAAACCGACCUCGCUUUUUUGUUAUUUCGUUG